GGUUAAGUGACUAAGCGUACACGGUGGAUGCCUGGGCAGUCAGAGGCGAUGAAGGACGUACUAACUUGCGAUAAGCGGUGAUGAGGCAGUAAGAGCCACUUGAGUCACCGAUUUCCGAAUGGGGAAACCCAGCUGCAUAAGCAGUUAUCAUCAGGUGAAUACAUAGCCUGAUGAGGCGAACCGGGGGAACUGAAACAUCUAAGUACCCCGAGGAAGAGAAAUCAACCGAGAUUCCGGCAGUAGCGGCGAGCGAAACCGGAUUAGCCCUUAAGCGUGUUUAGUGUCAGGUGAAGGUCCCUGGAAAGGGCCGCGAUACAGGGUGACAGCCCCGUAACCGACGAUGCUUUAGACGUGAAAACGAGUAGGACGGGACACGUGUUAUCCUGUCUGAACAUGGGGGGACCAUCCUCCAAGGCUAAAUACUCCUGACUGACCGAUAGUGAACCAGUACCGUGAGGGAAAGGCGAAAAGAACCCCUGUGAGGGGAGUGAAAAAGAACCUGAAACCGUGUACGUACAAGCAGUAGGAGCACCUUCGUGGUGUGACUGCGUACCUUUUGUAUAAUGGGUCAGCGACUUAAUUUCAGUAGCAAGGUUAACCGUAUAGGGGAGCCGUAGGGAAACCGAGUCUUAACUGGGCGUACAGUUGCUGGGAUUAGACCCGA
rnacentral:rRNA from 1 species